CCUACGGGGCGCAGCAGUGGGGAAUAUUGGACAAUGGGCGAAAGCCUGAUCCAGCCAUGCCGCGUGUGUGAAGAAGGCCUUCGGGUUGUAAAGCACUUUCAGUGGGGAAGAAAGCCUUGGGGCUAAUACCCUCGAGGAAGGACAUCACCCACAGAAGAAGCACCGGCUAACUCCGUGCCAGCAGCCGCGGUAAUACGGAGGGUGCGAGCGUUAAUCGGAAUUACUGGGCGUAAAGCGCGCGUAGGCGGUCUGAUAAGCCGGUUGUGAAAGCCCCGGGCUCAACCUGGGAACGGCAUCCGGAACUGUCAGGCUAGAGUGCAGGAGAGGAAGGUAGAAUUCCCGGUGUAGCGGUGAAAUGCGUAGAGAUCGGGAGGAAUACCAGUGGCGAAGGCGGCCUUCUGGACUGACACUGACGCUGAGGUGUGAAAGCGUGGGUAGCAAACAGGAUUAGAUACCCGGGUAGUC
rnacentral:rRNA from 1 species